GAUGAACGCUGGCGGCGUGCCUAAUACAUGCAAGUCGAGCGAACAGACGAGGAGCUUGCUCCUCUGACGUUAGCGGCGGACGGGUGAGUAACACGUGGAUAACCUACCUAUAAGACUGGGAUAACUUCGGGAAACCGGAGCUAAUACCGGAUAAUAUAUUGAACCGCAUGGUUCAAUAGUGAAAGACGGUUUUGCUGUCACUUAUAGAUGGAUCCGUGCCGCAUUAGCUAGUUGGUAAGGUAACAGCUUACCAAGGCAACGAUGCGUAGCCGACCUGAGAGGGUGAUCGGCCACACUGGAACUGAGACACGGUCCAGACUCCUACGGGAGGCAGCAGUAGGGAAUCUUCCGCAGUGGGCGAAAGCCUGACGGAGCAACGCCGCGUGAGUGAUGAAGGUCUUCGGAUCGUAAAACUCUGUUAUUAGGGAAGAACAAAUGUGUAAGUAACUAUGCACGUCUUGACGGUACCUAAUCAGAAAGCCACGGCUAACUACGUG
rnacentral:rRNA from 1 species